CGUCUCUAUGCAACAGGACUAUGCAUGAUUUUCAUUUCCUGCCUUAUACUUUUUUGUGCUUCCAUAAUUUUCUACAACAAAUGUGCAUUACUUUUAUCAUCAGAAAAGAAUGCUUUCUUUGAGAUCUACAUCCCCUGAAUGGUGACAGUGCUACGCUUUGCACCUCUGCUCAUCUCCAUGUACCUAAAUGACAGGAGAAGAGAUGAAAGACGGAGCAGGACGCAGCCCCCUGUGUGAACUGGGCAGCUAAACAGCAGCCCCAAGGCUGAGGGAGAGGAGACGGUCAGGCCUCGGGCCAUUGAUAGCCCAUGUCGCACCAUUGUGCACAUCCGAGAAAGCGCCCAUCUGGGAAAAUGCAGCCCGUGAGCACACAGCUUGUUGAGCAGACAUGCCUUGGGGUGAUUUAGAAAAAGGUGCCCUCAUCUCUGGAUAGAGACAGCCCCGAUCCAAGACGCACAGCGUGGCCAGCAGAGCUGGGCUGGAUUUCAGCCCCACUCACCUCCUCAGUCACAUACCCUUGUUCUUGUUCUGUGGGUCCUUACCCACUUCUGAGAGCUCUCCAGCUGGAAAGGCUCAGAUGCUGAAUGCGAGGGACAGGUAGGCAAAACCCCAGCUUCUGGGCAUUGCAAGCUCACACACCACCUUCCCACCGCUCAUCUUCCCACUCCUGCUCUGCCUCAUGGGCAGGUGUUAGAAAUGCCACCACUUCAUAGCGACUGCCCCGAGGCCAAAGACCAAGGAAGGAGAGGACCAAGGCCUUCAAGACUGGUCUCUUGACUCCUGCUCCAGUGUUCUCUCCAUUCUGAACUGGCCUCAUUUUUGAGACCCUCCUGACUUCCCACAUCCUGUGCCUCCCCAUCCAUCCACCAGCCAUCUCAGGCUUCAUGGCACAGCUGCAUCUCUAUCUGCAGGGCUUCUGGACUCCACCCCGGCCCCACCUUCCUCUCCUACUUCUCACCUCCUCCAUCCAGAGGACAAGUCACCAGCCGUUCAGAGAGGGGGCCCGGCAUUUCCUGGGUUCUUCCUCUGCUCCUGGUGCAGGUGAGGCCUCCACACGUGUUCCCUCAGGGUCAUCCUCAGCGGGCAUUAUUUCCCCAGACCUGCCAGUGAGAAACCUGAGACUCGGUGAAGGCCAGGAGCUGUCGGAAUCCAUGUGGCCACUAAGGGAGGGACAGGGCUGGGACUGGAACCUCCUCUGUGUGAGUCCACGGUGCCUCUUCAUGUUUGUUCACAGGGAGAAAAGGAAGAGAAAGACGGCUGUGUGUGAGAAAACCCACACAUUUCCUUUUCUUUGUUAAUAACAUGUAAUAAUCCAAAAGCAAGCCUGGUGGGUGGAAAAUCCCUGCUGGCUGUGUUUCCAGGGCCUGGGAGCAUCGAGCGCCUGGCCGGACCCACAGGGCACGGCGCCUGAGGCCGGUCCGCCUCACCGGAGAGGAGCUGCCUCGCAGACCCCGCCAGGCCAGGUCCGCUGCCCUGGACUCUCAGGGACGGCAGAUAGAAAGGUCACCUCAACAGAGGGUGGCUCUUGGGACACAGAGCAGCCUGGGUGUGACCGGGCCACUCGCCUGGCUGCUCUGGCCUUGCCCUGGUCAUGGAAGAGCUUCCCCACCUGCUGGGCCACAGACCCAGCGGCCGAGGCGCCCAAGGCCGGCUGAAGAGAGGGCAGGGAGGCCGCAGGCAGGUUGGCACUAGGAGGGGCUCCACGCAGAACAGAGAGCCUCCCGUCUCAGGCAAUGGAAAACACUAGCAUGGAGAGGAGACUCAGCUACCACUAGUACAGCCUUAGAGAUGACUUCCCCAAGGGUGCCGCCAUCUUAACUUCCCAGCAUGCACUGGGCUCCGGAAACGCCUGCUCAGGGCCGCCUGGUUUACGCGGGAAGGACAAAGAAGCUGGGAGAGGAGGAGAAAAAAGGGGAUUUUUUUAACUACCUACCACGUGAGGUGUUUUUGUUUACCCUAUCUUGUUUACCUGCCACAAGCUUGGGAAGCUGGCGUUACCGUUCUUCCCAUUUUCUAGAAGAGGAAACUGCAACUCUGAGGCAGGAAGUGGCUUGCGGGGUCACAGGGCCGUAAGAACUGGGUUUAAAUACAGGUCUCUAGGGGGCUUGCUCCCUUUUCCCUUCCCAACCCAGUCCGAAGGGAGGUUUCCGCAUUCUUUCCCGGAUGAUUUGCUACCCUGUCCUCCCCUGCCCGUCGCAGCGCCCUGCAGGCCCCCUCCUGCUUCCUGUCUAGGGCCCACGGCAGAAGAGACCCACAGCAGCACCCGCUCCAGGGACUCAGCUUACAGGCUGCCAGGCUCAGGAGAAAGGCAUCGGCAAUUGCUUCGAGCCAAGCAUUAAUAACGCAUUUGACAAUUGAGGAAAUGAGGCCGGAGCCAGUCAGGCUGUGCUGCUCCCGGUGAAGGACCAACCCCUGCAGCGUCCUGUGCUCUCAGCCUCGCAGUACCCAGCAUGCCACACACACCUGGGAUGGCCAUUGGCUCUGACCCCUUGUGUGUUCUCAGGCCUUCGAGAUUUUGAAAGGCAAGUUCAAGAACGUUUUUUAGGAGACUGUUGGCUGCCAAUUGCAAUGAUUUUGUGUGUCCGAGGACUUGGUAAGGGCAGCUAAAGAGAUGUGAAGCUUAUAUGAUGAAAUCUGACUUGCUAAAGGAAUGCAAAACCCUUCCACGUGAUUCACCCUUGCACGCCCGCUCUUGGCCAGCUGUGAAGGGCGCUAUGGCAGCAUCAGAGCUCGGUGACCUCCUCCCUUAAUGUCACAGUGAAGCCAGCACUCUGCUCUCCAGGGAAAGCAGUGAGCCCUCCAUGAGCCAGGUACCGGCUGGAUUACAGCAGUGUUGCGGUACAUCCCACAACAACUCUGUGAUGUGGGAACUAUUAUUAUUCCCUUUUUACAAAGGAAGAAACUGAGGCAGAGAGAGAGGCCAAGGAGGUAGGCAGGAUUGCCCUGGCAGUCAGAGGCUAUGAACUUGAUGCCUGCACCACAUGCCUCCCAUGCCCUUAGAGCUGAGGAGCCUGAGGCUCAUAAAGCCCCUGGCUUGCCCAACAUCCCACAGCCAGCUGGAUGCAGGACGUGUGUCCCCUCUGGAUGAAGACCUAGGAGGACAAAAGGGAAAAUGAGGGACACAAGGACACAGUAUCCCAUUUGUGGACUCUCGUUACACCCCUGUCAGAGGGUCAAAGGACACUGAGACUGCCACCAAAGGCCCCCCAGCUAAGCUCUGAGCUGGCACACAUUGCUCCGUGGAUAAGGUGGCAGUUUGCAAGGGAAAGAUCCUAUCAGCAUCGACUUCACUGCAGGGAAGCGGAGGAUGUUCAAAGCUGCCUGGACCCCUCCUUAUCCCAUCUCUUCAUUUCACCCAUGAGGGGCUGAGUCCCGGAGUGCCAGUGUCACACAGCUGGUUAGGACGUGGCCGCUCCUGUCCUCUAAAAAAGAUGGCUGAGGCAGGGUGCUGGGAUGGGCCCUGCUCCCUGCUCAACCAGUCAAUGGCUGCGGGACCUCAGGGCAGCCUCUCCCUCGCUCUCUGCCUCCAUUUCCCCAUCUGUAAAAUUGCGCAGCUUAGACUAGAUCUUGCUGCAGCCUGUAGCUUCAGCAUGCCACGAUUCCCUUUCAGUCUAAAAGGUUGUUGGCUCUGAACCCAAUUAGGAUAAAUCAAUUUCAGACAAUGCUCAUCCCCUCAGGCUCCGUUCUCCCCCCUCCUCCUCCCAUCUGCCUGUCAUUGUCAAAGUAACCACAUAUUGAAUUCUCAAGGAGAAGGCCAUCAGAUCAAGGAGGGGAAGUGGCAAAAACCAAUCUUAACAAAAUAUAUUUGAGCUCCAAAUAAAAUUUCAUCCUCUUCCCACUGGCAGAUUUUAUCGUUUUUUAUUUCAGUUCAGUGCAGCUGAGCAUAUGGACAGGAGCUCGCUGUUGCCGGAGAUGGAGAAUAACAGGCCCGGACACAGGGUGCCCCCAGGAUGAUGGAGCACCCUCCACAUGCUGUCAUGGCGGGCACAAGGGAGCCCCCUGUUCUGCUUUCUCCAAGCCCUCCAUGAUGCCUGAACAGCCCCCCGUGGAAGUGACAAAGACGGUCCCAGGACUUCAGGCUUAGGCUCUACCCAUCUGGCAACCACCACAGAGCAAGUGACUCCUUCCAGCAAAACUUCCAAGGUUGGGUCUCACUGGUUGAGCUUGAGCCACAUCCCCAUUCCUGAGCCAGUCUCUAUGAUUCAAGGGGGGCCUACAAUUGAGAGUGGGGGGCUUCCCCAAAGGAAAAUUGAGGGGCUAUUCCCAAAGGAUGGAUAAUAGCUGCUGGGCUGGCGGAAACAUCAGCCAUGCCUCCGACAUGGAAGUACUUAGAAUUCUGCCAGACAGGGUCAGACAGGGUCAUUAUUACUGUAGGAGACCACAGUGUGCAUGGCAUUUGGACAAACCCAGGCUGAGAGACCUGCUUCCACAGAGGGGUUGGCAAGACGUCACAGUUUGGUCCAACAUCACCAUACACUUCCUUGGUCUCAGAAGGAGCGAGAAAGGAGCGUGGGUCUGCGACCCUGGGGUCUGCAUUCCUCCCCUCGUUCUGGCAUUCCCUGGCCAUGUGGCCUUGGGAAAGUGACCUAACCAUACUCAGACUUGAUUUUCUCAUCUGGAAAAUGGGAACCAGAAAACCUCUCUUGUAGGGUUGCUGUCAGGAUUGAAAGAGAAGAGGAUCCAGGUGCCUGGAACCAUCCUGGCACACAUCAGGGGCUCAAAGGAUGAUUUUUAAAAGCCCACCUGCCAGCAGGCGCCUGCACUCCUGAAAAGCCCUUUGGGCAUCUGAACUGAGGACCAGAGGACCUUCAGGAAAGCAAUUCCCCUUUGCCUUAGCUGUUGGCGGACUUUACAAAAAGAAGUUAAAUAAAGCCAAUGCUGUGACUCUCUUAGCUCUUUUCCAAGCCCCUUGACUCAGCAGUGGUGAAAACAUGAGGAGAACCAGUCCCACCAAGCCAAUCAAUGGCAAAGACUAGCUCCGAGGUCCCCAGGGCCCAGUGCUCCGGCAUUGAGGCUGCUGCCCUAAGAGGUCGGGAGACAGGAGAAGAGCAGGAAAGAGAAAGCUGCUCGCCCACUGCCACGACCAGUGGAAGCGCUCGUCCAGCUCUGCAGUCAGUGCUCUGUCUUGCUUGGCUGGGAGUUCCCAGGAGCAGGGGAAGCACUUUGUCACUAUGAAAUGCCACAAAAGUGGUUCUCAAAGAGGGCAUCACAGGACCCGCAGCCCUUGGGGAACUAACAGGUGUGCAGUGCAUUCUGGGUGAUUUGAAUUCUGGAGAAAAUCUGGCAUCAAAAUGUUAGGAAAGCCUCCUGUGGUGCAAAAUUUAAAAUAAUGCAAAUCUCCCUUUUCACAUGUUCAAAAUGUGUCAAGAAUUGCAUAACUGCAAACGAACGAGGUGUCAGUGGAGCUUUCUGUGCUGCCCAUGUCAGCACCACCACAGCUAGUGAAUAAUCGUACCCUGCCCUUUAUCCAUGCUGCGAGAAAUAGGUCUUGAAUUAUUCACUUUGUGCACAAUACAGUAGCUUAAAGAAUGGAUCCUGUGCAUGAAACAACCACCCUGACUUGAGAACAAGUGGCUGUGCUCAGACAUGCUCCCUGCACAUCACUGGCACUCCAUACCUUAUUGGGGGGUGGGCAGAGGGGAG
ensembl:lncRNA